GAAAUAAGAUCCUACAAGCUUCGCGGCAUGGCCAAAAAAGAAAAAAAAACAAAAAUGAAAAACCACGGUGGAUCCCCAGAACCAAAUUAAUAAGAGUCUGAAUUUGCAAAGAAAAGGACAAUGUAAAAUUGUGCCUUCCUCUCUCAACCAGGCACCACAGAUAGAGACCUCGGAGAAGUGACUGGUAAAAAGUCUCACGCUUUGCCAGCUUCCGCUAGCUCUCCCAGGAUGCCGUCUGCAGGCUCUAGAGAAGAGGAAGAGGAAUUUUUCUUCUCCCCUUUAUAGUGAAUCCCUGGCUGACACUUCUCUUUUUCUAGGGCAUCUUGUAAAUGGAUAAACUUACCGAAGUUGAAAGUUCUCCACUAUGGCCUCUCUAAUUCAAGAUUAUCUUUGAUAAGUUUAACCUGCUAGUUCAGCCUUAAAACACAAUUUUUUUCACCUGAGGCCUCAUACCGGCUCGCUCCGGCUCAAGUCAGAUCCAGGCGUGAGCCUUUCUACGUCAGACCAAUCAGCUUCCAUCAGGUUUCCGGACCCAGGCCAGAAAAAGGAAGGCUCAGAUGGUCGGAAAGCUCAUGAGGCCAGAGCUGCGGGUCCAGGAUCCAGGACCGCGAGGACUUGCCCAGCACCUCCGGAGGCAGCGAGAAAACAGCCAGCUCCAGGAACUCAGCAGGGAAACUCAAGAUUGAUAGUAAAUGAAUGACAGCAGUUCAAGAAUCACUUCUUCCUGUGGUACCUUCCGGAGGACGAAGGUAAAAAUCACCCAGACACAGGGGUGAUUGAUGAGGUGUUCAGAGCCUCAGCAUCAGUGGCGACCACAGAGGAGUUGAGGACUUAAGAUCUUAUGGGAAAGAUAAGGUAUGAAGGUGAAACUGCCCAUUUUGUUCCCUGCUCUAUCUACAGUCGGACAUCAGAACAGUUCCUGGUUCCCAGUAAGCACUAAAUAGAUAAGAAAGGAGAAAGAGCAGAGGAGAGAAAAUUGAUGCCUGGAGCUAAGGCUGUAAGAAGGAGAUAAACAACAACAUCAAUUUAGAGAUGGGAAGUGGUAUGGACAGUGAAAGAGGAAGUGAGGAACAGGCCUGAACCUGAUUCACCACAACUUGGAAAACCUGGGGUAAGAGAUUGGAUAAAGUGAAAACUCAGCAGGUACACGAUGGAAAAUGAUUCUUGGGCACAAGGAAAUCUGAUUAGGCUGAAGAAAUAUUUCCUGGUGUUUGUCAGAUUACUUUAAAAUAAGAUGGACUAGUGAAGAAGAGUAUGGUUCACUCAGACAAGUGAAUUUCCCAUUUUUCCAUCAGCACUCACUGUACUUCACUUGACCUAACUUGAACCAAAAAAAACAACCAUUCAAGGUGUAGUGCUAGGAUAAUGCAUAUUCACUGCAAUUGUAAUUUAUCUGUCGCCUCAAUUAAAAUGUAAGUUCCUAGGGCUUCCCUGGUGGCACAGUGGUUGAGAGUCCACCUGCCGAUGCAGGGGACGUGGGUUCGUGCCCCGGUCCGGG